rnacentral:rRNA from 1 species
AUAGCCAUAUCACCCUGAAUGCGCCAGAUAUCUGCUGAUCUCAGAAGCUAAGCAAGGUCAGGCCUGGUUAGUACUUGGAUGGGAGGGUGACCCCAGGAGAGGAGGCACAUCAUAUC